rnacentral:rRNA from 1 species
AUUGAGAGUUUGAUCCUGGCUCAGGACGAACGCUGGCGGCGUGCUUAACACAUGCAAGUCGAGCGAUGAAGCUCCUUCGGGAGUGGAUUAGCGGCGGACGGGUGAGUAACACGUGGGUAACCUGCCUCAUAGAGGG